AUUGAACGCUGGCGGCAUGCCUAACACAUGCAAGUCGAACGGCAGCACUACCUAGCUUGCUAGGUUGGUGGCGAGUGGCGCACGGGUGAGUAAUGCGUAGGAAUAUACCUUAAAGUGGGGGACAACCUGGGGAAACUCAGGCUAAUACCGCAUGAGCUCUAAGGAGGAAAGCUGGGGACCUUUCGGGGCCUGGCGCUUUAAGAAUAGCUUAAGUCCGAUUAGUUAGUUGGUGGGGUAAAGGCUUACCAAGACGAUGAUCGGUAGCUGGUCUGAGAGGAUGAUCAGCCACACUGUGACUGAGACACGGCCCAGACUCCUACGGGAGGCAGCAGUGGGGAAUAUUGGACAAUGGGGGAAACCCUGAUCCAGCGAUGCCGCGUGUGUGAAGAAGGCCUGCGGGUUGUAAAGCACUUUCGGUGGGGAGGAGGACUUAUAGGUUAAGAGCUAAUGAGUUGGACGUUACCCACAUAAGAAGCACCGGCUAACUCCGUGCCAGCCGCCGCCGUAA
rnacentral:rRNA from 1 species